AGAUUGAACGCUGGCGGCAUGCCUUACACAUGCAAGUCGAACGGUAACAGGUCUUCGGAUGCUGACGAGUGGCGAACGGGUGAGUAAUACAUCGGAACGUGCCCGAGAGUGGGGGAUAACGAAGCGAAAGCUUUGCUAAUACCGCAUACGAUCUCAGGAUGAAAGCAGGGGACCGCAAGGCCUUGCGCUCACGGAGCGGCCGAUGGCAGAUUAGGUAGUUGGUGGGAUAAAAGCUUACCAAGCCGACGAUCUGUAGCUGGUCUGAGAGGACGACCAGCCACACUGGGACUGAGACACGGCCCAGACUCCUACGGGAGGCAGCAGUGGGGAAUUUUGGACAAUGGGCGCAAGCCUGAUCCAGCCAUGCCGCGUGCAGGAUGAAGGCCUUCGGGUUGUAAACUGCUUUUGUACGGAACGAAAAGACUCUGGUUAAUACCUGGGGUCCAUGACGGUACCGUAAGAAUAAGCACCGGCUAACUACGUGCCAGCAGCCGCGGUAAUACGUAGGGUGCGAGCGUUAAUCGGAAUUACUGGGCGUAAAGCGUGCGCAGGCGGUUAUAUAAGACAGAUGUGAAAUCCCCGGGCUCAACCUGGGAACUGCAUUUGUGACUGUAUAGCUAGAGUACGGCAGAGGGGGAUGGAAUUCCGCGUGUAGCAGUGAAAUGCGUAGAUAUGCGGAGGAACACCGAUGGCGAAGGCAAUCCCCUGGGCCUGUACUGACGCUCA
rnacentral:rRNA from 1 species